AACGCACGAGACCUGCGGACCUGCGGAAGGAUCAUUAAUGAGAAGCUGCCCCUCGUGGGUAGACCUCCCACCCUCUGUGAACUUACCUUUGUUGCUUUGGCAGGCCCGUCCUCUGGACCGCCGGCUUCGGCUGGCCCGUGCCUGCCAGAGGAUUCCAAACCCUGUCUGUCAGUGUUGUCUGAGUCUAUAUGAAAUCGUUAAAACUUUCAUCAAUGGAUCUCUAGAUCGGAAGAGCACACG
rnacentral:misc_RNA from 1 species